GGGAACGGCAUGGAGCUGUGUCAGGAGAGUCAAGGUGGAGUUGGCUGGUAUAAAACACACAAGGAUCCAGGAAACACGAAAUGUGUCAUCCCUUACCUCCAAGACAGAACCAUAUUUCUUGAACACUGGGCUGGUUGAACUGGAAAGAAUGGGCACUCAAGCAGGAGAGCGUGUUGUCACAUAAGUCUCACAUGAGACCCAGCUGGACAAAUAUUUGAAUUACAUACUCUUAGAUGCUCACCAAGUUUUCAGUCAUCUGCUAGCUGCCCUUGUGCAGCAAUAUCUGAGCCAUCUUGUGGUUGAUGAGUUUGUAGCAGAGAUUCUAGAGAAAAUGAUAUUGCCUUUAACACCUGUAGAUAGCUUUGUGUUGCCUGAAAUCCAAGCAUGCACAAUUUGGAUUGAAUCUCUGAGUUCUCCAACUUAUGUCCUUACUUUCUGCUUGCUCUGUGGAAAAGCAAUACAAGAGAAUAAAACUAGGGUUAUGUACAUUAGAAAAAAAAAGAAAAGAAAAGAAAAAAUAUAGAUAAAACAUAAGUGAUUUCUAUCUGUUUAAUUUAGAUGUAUAUUUUUCAAUAGCACAAUAUAUACAUCAUCUGUAAGCAUCUAUACAUUUUAAAUGCUGUGAGAUAGAUGUGAUUGCACAGUAUGGUAGUGGCAUAUCUCUAUUUCCAAUCAACUCUAGUAGUGAUUGACUUCUUUGAUUUCAUAAUUCGUGCCAUGAAGCAUAUGAUGGCAAACUUAGAUUAGUCUCCAGCCAUGUCUCUCCAUGCCGUCUUUCCCACCAAGUCUUUAAUAUGUAUAUAUUUGCCCUGUUUUAAACUUAUAUAGUGCUUAAUACUUAAUAAUACUUAUGUUUCUGCCUCCUGAAUUCUAAAAUAUUGAUGAGGAAUCAAGUUUUUUGUACUGGAGGCAAACACUAAAUUAUAGUCCCAUGCCAUGUCACUAUAAAAUGUAAUUUUUAAGGGAAUUAUUAUCUUUUUUAUUAUUAAUUUCAAAAACUUUGAACUCCUUGAAGUAACUGUUUCAUAUGUGUUAUAUGUGAUUUUAAGUGUACUUUUGCUAUUUAAGAAAUGAGUAAGAAAUAACAUCGUGGUCAAAUUUCCAUACAAUGCAGCAAGAUUAUAAUAGUGUAUGCAUAAACGCAAAGGGAAAAAAAAAACAACAACACAAUACUGCACCAGGAUUUGCAAGCAAGUUUUGUCAGCAAAUUUUGGAUGCAGGCAUAUCAAAGGAAAUGUUGUUUCGUUUGUAUAGAAUCAUAUUAUUUACAAGGAUGAGUGAGGUGACUUCAUAUAAAUUACAUAUUAAGAUGUAUUACUUCCAUAGUGAUUGCAAUUACAGUGAAGAAAUUUUAAAAAACUUAAAAAAAUAAGGUAAUUCUUUUGUGAAUGAGAGGGGUGUAUUGUACAGUAUUUGGUGAUUAGGAUGCUGACAAUUUCCUAAAUGGAAACAAUAUCUUGAAAUAUUGAAGUUCUAGAUAAACAAUAAUGUUUUAAUUCAAUCUGUCAUGACAAAAAGGUGUUUGGUGUGUUACGAGGACACAAUAGUAAAAAGUCCUGUGUAACUGAGAUGCUUAGCUCUGUCUAGUUCCCUCCUCAUCCCAACCAUUACAGAACAUGGCACCCUCAUGGUGUGAACUCAGAUGUUGGAGCGUGUAACAACAGGCCAAGCAUGCCUGCAGCACACCUCAUUUUGCUGGGAAAGCAGCCAGCUUUCACUGAUCUUUGCAAACCACAGUAUGUUGCUAGCCCUUGGAGCUGCUGCAGAUUGCACAGGAAAGGAGAAGUUACAGAAGAUGAAAAAAGAGCUGCAGGGUGUAGAGAGUUUAGAGAGUAAUUUUCUCAUUUGUAAUUUUAUCAGUGGAGCUGUUAUUUGUUUUCUACUGAGGCAUCCAGCUUUUGCCCAGGAGAACAAAACUAAAGCCUGUGGAGAAAGGGGGUAAUCUCUCUGGUUUGUUUUGUCUCUCAGGAAAGGUGGCAAGAAGUGGGCAAUGUCUAUAUUGCUGACAAUGAAUGUAGGCAAACUUCAUUUGCUUGUGUUUAUCCCUGAUUGCCUCACUGCCUAAAGCUACCUCUGGUUUCAAUCAUGGUCAGUUUCACAGACCAUAUCUCUCUGAGACACUCAAUGACCUGGAACCAGUCUAGCUAGAAGAUUAACUAAGAUCUGGUAUGGAGACAGUAGCUGAGAAUUGUGUCUUUCCGACAUGAGUCCUUGGAGCAUGAAAUUCAUCUGAAGGGGAAACAAAGCUUUUCAAAAGUUAGUAAGUCUCCCCUGUGUCCUCACAAAGUACAAAGCACGUUUCUUCAGUUUGCCUUGGCCACUUGGAAUUGUAUGUUAACUUAAUGUGUAUAUAUUUUCCUUUAAUAACAAUAGGCUUUAGAAGAAGAGCAACAACAACGGGGUGGUCACUGCAUGCAGUAUUUUUACAUUGCAAAGAUGAUGGCAAACAGAUCAGCCCAAUGUUUAUCACAUUCUUCCGUGAAGUAAUAAUAUUAUGCACUCAGAUAUUACGGUUAGCAAACCACUAUAAGAAUGUAAUGGAAUAGAACUAAUUACUACUAUUGACCUACGUAGAGUUAAAAGCCUAAACUACAACUCUAAUGUCUCCAACUAAAAAAAUGCCCCUAUUUUAUUCAGUGCACCGACUCUUGCUGUGUUUAUACAGUAUAAUAUUCAUUUCCUGACAUAGACUUGCUUUUACUUUUUACUAGUGACAGUCAUACAGAAGCAGAAAGCUCUAAAAUAGGGAUUUUCUUUUUAACUCAUCAAUCUACAGUAUUAAAUUCCUGUGACAGGAUCACUCUUCAGUUUAAGUUUACAAAUUAUGUUCUGGAUACAUACAUCCAUGUAGCCCCAUUGAAGGCAUUAGAAACCCAAAGAACAAUUAAUGAAACAGAAGAAAGCCGAUAUUGCAAUUUAAGACAGCAUUUGCCCUCCGGAAUAUUUACUAUCAGGGAAGAGGUAUGAAGAAAAGAAAAAAGAACUUCUGCUUCACUCUCAUAUUCCAGAUUUAGUUUGCAGUAGAAUAUUGUGUUGUUGUUGUUGCUAAAGAGCAUAAAUUAUAUAUGUAAAAAAUCAGAGUAAUAGAAUCUCCCACUGACAAUGACAUAAAAGAUGCUUUGUGUUCUGUCACGGUUUCCUGUGUAUGUUUGUUUAUAUUUUCUUAAUAUUUAAGCAGUAAAAUAAACUACUAAAAUUAAAUUGUAAUGUAUUUCAAUCACACAUUCU